rnacentral:lncRNA from 1 species
AAACAAAAAGAAAAAGAAACAAAAGAAGAACAGAAGAGAAACAGAGAAAGAGACGAAAACAGGGGAAGAAAAAGGGGAAAGAAAAGAAAAGGGGAAAGAAAAGAAAAGCGGAAAAUUGGAUUUUAAAGCUUCAAGCUUAAUUGGUAAGUUAAAUUUAGCUAUUUUCUCUUAAUUUUGAUGAUUUAGAAGCUUUAAAACAAAGUUUUGUUGAAAUCAAGUGGAGGUUAUGGAAGUUCAUAGGUUUUUGAACAUGAUUCAUUUUGAACAAGUUGUUAAAUUAGGGGUUUAGUUGAUAGAAUUUCUAGUUAGAAUAGAUAAAAAGAUUGAUUUGUAAACUAAGUUAUAAAUUUUACAUGGUUGGGAUUAAGUUAUAAAAAGUCUUAAAUUAGAGUUUAAUUAUGAAUAUUGAAAAGUAGAGUUAAAUAUGAUAAGACAUUAAGUAGAAAAGAAGUAUGAAUUAAGUUAGAAAAAUAAGUAAGCUUAGUUAGAAUUAAAUUGGGAAUAAGUAGGAAUUGAAUAAAAUUUAAUUAAUAAUAAUAUUAUUAUUUUUAAUGCUGUAAUUAAUAGUGAAAAUAAUUAUUAUUUUCGUAGCUAACAAGGAAAACGAGGCAUCGGCAUCCAAAGGAAAAGAAAAGAUCGUUGAGGAGUAAACGCGUAUUCCGGGUUUGUAUUACUAUAACUUAAUCUAUUUAAUAAAUGCUAUAUUGAAAUUGUAUUCAUGGGACAUUUAAAGUAAGGUAAGUAAUAACAUUUGAAAUUAUGUGUGAAUAUUGAAUUUAUAUGUGAAUUGAUAUAAUAGAUGUUUUGAAUUGUUUGAAUAUUUGAAAUUGUGUGGAAAUGAAUUCGAAAUUGGAAAAGUAAAAUAAUACCCUAUUAACUUAUCAGACUAGAUUGGAUACAAAUGGUGUGCCACUGGAUUUGUGAUGUGAUGAUGAGAUUUGUAGUUCGGUCGAGAAGAUGAUUAUAUUAUUAUAUGCUUCGGUUUAUCCGAAGAGGCAUUUAAUGUCUUAUUGGUAUGUUAUGGAGGAUUUAAAUAAUUUCGGGUGUAUUUAGGUUGGAUAUUCUGGUGUGUUUGGGUGGAAUCCUCGUAUCUGUCAGUGCCUGAGCCUUGUUAAUAGGGUAAAUAAUUGAAAUGAAAAUUUGAAAAUGAAAUUGGUUGAUUUGACACUAUAGAAAAAUACGAGAAAGAAUGUAUGAGUUAAAUUAUAAAUUUAAUUAGUAUGUAAAUAUAUAUAUAAAUUUAAGAUCUAUGGAAUGAUAUAUGAAUAUGUAUAUUUAAUUUAAAGUGAUUUAUAAGAUUAUGGUCAAUAUUUGAAAUUUUAUUAUUAAAUAGUUUAAUUUAUAGUAAUACCACUGAUUAUGAAAUACUCAGCGUACGGUUAUUUCCGUGCGCAGGUUGUAGAAGUCAAGUACUGAAUCAGCAUCCAAAACCAAACCCGACUUCAGCAAAUUUUGGUGAUGUAUAUUUUCUUUUAGUAAUGUGGCAUGUACAUAGGAUGUGUAUAAAUGUUAUAAUAUUUUGAAUAUAAAUAGUUAAAAAUGUUAGUAUUAUAAGUCUAAGAAUUUUAAUGAAAGAAGUUAUUGAAAUUUUGUAAUUUAAGAUAUGAUCAAAAUAUUCAAACAUGUUCGAGAUGGAAUUUUU